ACGAGGUCCAUGGACGCUGGAUCCUGUCAUGGAGCAAGUCCUGACUGCCCUUCUCCAGGCCCGGGUACAAUCAGGUGUCCCAUUCCCAGUUCUCCAUCUCUCCAACCUCGUGGUUCCUCGGACACUGCCCAGGCUUGGAAGAAGCUCCCCAUGAGCAACCUGGUCCAGUGUCCCUGCCCAUGGCAGAGGGGUGGAAUGAGAAGAGCUUUAAGGUCCCUCCCAACCCAAACCAUUCCAGGAUUCAGCAAAAAUUCCUUUUUUUUCCUCCUGAAACCGGUUCUGCAAACUCCCAUGCCAGGGAAGCACUUCUAGAGGAGUCUCCAUCGUGGGGAGAGUGUGGGAACACCCACCUGCAGAGCCAGAGGGAUCCCAGCACUCCGAGGACGUUCCCUCCCUCCAGCCCCAGGCUCAGCACAUUCUCCUCAGAAGCCAAGGGAACCAACCCCAGCUUGCCCCCGGUGGAGGAGGAGCCAGUGGGAUGGAUC